rnacentral:lncRNA from 1 species
UCACCCCGAGGACAUUUUCCAUAAAACAGCUGCCAAAUGAUUCCAAGAAUACUAUAACAGUCCUGAUUUUGAGAAAUCAGCGCAAUUUUGACGCCGAGAGAUGGUGUCCUCUCUGUGUUCCUCCUGCUCGUGCAGGUGGGCCACAGAUUUCAGAAGAAACCGCCAUGUAUGUGGAUGGAACUGCAGCCCAAGAACAACCCACUGCUAAGAUUGCAUGGACAUUUCCUUAGGUCGUGCCCAGCGAGAUGACGUGAUGGCCAUUCUCCCCACCCACAGCCCCCAGCCCCCGUGGCGCUCGGUGUAGGCUGCUUCGGCCCACACGUAUCGCAGCUGCCUUUUUCUUGACUGUGUUGUUGUCUCUUAGAUUAACUGUGCUGAGACUCCCGGUAGCUCAUGGACCUGUGUCUAGUACUUUCCCGAAGCGAUGGUGGGUGUGCGUAGAGUGAAGUUGCUGUACCCACGUUGUUGAACUUGCGUACCCUGUAGCUAGAUCGUGAGGUGUCCGUCUGUUAUCCCCCCCAAGGUGGUAACUCCGUGUGUUCAAUUUAUGCAAUGAAUGUUGUCAUGCGAUGCUGUAGUUUGGAUUGAUAAGUGGAUGGUUUCUGUUUCUAAAAAGAAAAAAAAAUCAGUGUUCGCCCUUAUAGGAGACAUAGUCAAGUUCAUGUUGAUAAUAACCCAGUGAAAUUCUUCUCUUGUCAAGUUAUCUGAAUUGUGUAACCAUAGAUGGGAAGGACGCAUCUUGGGAAACUUCAGUUUCCUACGGGAAGGAACUCCCCAAGGGCAGCCAUGUGUGAAAAGAUCAUUUUUUAAAGAAAAAAAAAAUAAGUCAAAGAGGGCAACUUUGUACUAUUCAGUUAUCUAAGGAACAAUAAAGAUAUUAGGAGAUA